ensembl:lncRNA
AAGUUGUGACUUAGGAUUUCUGCUACAACAGCAUAUAGGCUGGUAUGAGGGAGGAAUUCAAACUAAAUCAUCUGUGCUGUCUUUGGCUUCUCUACCGUGACAGUGAAAUGGCAGAGAGAGAUGGAAGGAAGAACUAAGGGCAAAGCUCACAAAGCAAAGCUCAAAGACAGACGGAGAUUCGUAUACCACAUGAUGAAGAGGCUCUUACUUCUGGUCUAAGCACUGUCCUGCCCUGCAUCCACUUGGAGCAGUGACUGAGCACUGCCUUCCCAAACAGCUGAAUUGCCUGGUAUUCCACUGUUGGACUAUAUAGAUCAAACUGCCUGCUAAUAAUUCAUUACCUCUUGUGGAAUACAGUGCUGGCAAAAGAAAAGAUUUGUGGGGGCAUUUCUGCUUUCUGACAGAGCACCCUAGGCCUGAGAUGUCAUGCUGGUUUCAGCUUUCUGUGUGAGAGCUAAUAGCUCUGCACUUCAGAAGUGGGGCAAGAGUUGACAGAUUGCCUGCAUGCAGCUCCCACAAACAACUUAUGGAGAUCAGGGUGCUGCUGUGAAGAUGUGUAGGAACUGCUCUCAGAACUGACAGCCUCCAAGUAGCUAGCCUUGAUAGCUCCUUUAUACUCUAAACUUAUGGAUUUUUAAAUUAUUCAGAGAGUUCUGUUGUCUGUGUUUUUUUUUUUUUUUUUUUCCCUGAAUUGUUGAGAUAUUUCAGUAGGGGAAUUUACAUUACAGAAUUUAGAGGGCUGUUGUUUCCUGUUUGUUCGUUCUCUAUCUGGAAUUCCCUCCCUUUUCUUAUUAAUGAUUUGUUGUCUUUCUGAGCACAAUGAAUGCAGAAAGAAUAAGACCUAAUGGUGCAGGUUAGUUAUCCAUGAAAUUUCUCUGUAUUUAAUUGUAACAGUUGGUAUCUUCCUGCUUAGUAUGACUGGUACAUUAAAUAUAAAGAGAAUGAUUUUUUUUCUGUAUGGAAUUCUACAUAAGUAGCCUGCAAAGAGGACAGAUCUAUAUGUGUAGCAUAGUAUUUUCCUCCUGAGAGAUCCUGGAAAUUUAAAUUUAAAAAAAAAUGAUUUAAGUAUUCGGAUUGGGAUGGCAGAAUAAAGCCUAGUAGCACAUACACAUAAGCUUUAGAGCACAUUUACAGUAGUACGAAGAUCCCUGAUCCAAGAUCAGCAGGUAAACAUUAUUGAUGAGGUGGGAUACACAAACCCUAACAUGGGCAAAACAAAGAGCAGCUACAGGGAUAUUCAUUCUUCCCUGCCACUUCUCCACAGUGUUUCAGAGGCAGCGAAUGACUGUGGAAAAGUAGGCUUGUACAGAGCUUGGCACACUGCCUUCUGCUUCUGGAGGAAUGAUGCUGCAGGCAACGUUAGCUAGCAGGUGUCUCCCGGGAAGUAAAUGAUACACAUUUCCUACAAAUAAUGUACCAAAAGACAUGGAUUUGAAUUGAAGACUACUUAAAAUC